GGUCCAGUGGCGCAAUUGGUAGCGCACCGGCCUGGGGAUCCCUCCUCAAGACUGGCGGCUGUGGGUUCGAGUCCCCCCUGGUGCCA